rnacentral:lncRNA from 1 species
CAAAGGAACUCACCUAUUUAGGAACCCAGCACUUGUUUUUCAGAUACACUUUUGGGCAUGAACGCUGAUUUUUCACAAGUGGAAACCAAGGAAAAGUGAGCAUGUGCCCAUAUGUGUUGGGCCGUGGGUGAGGGUGAUUAGCAAGCCAGUGGGAAGCGCUACAGAACGAAGGCGGAGCUGGUGGUGUGGAUGUUUAACAUUGGAGAAUGGUCAGAUGAACACCAAACAGAACACAGGAAUUGUGGAGAUCUUGUAUCUGGUCCAUCUACUGACGUGCCUCUGGUCCCUGUGCUGCUGCCAGGUUACUUUCUCCUCCUCCCAUCUAACAACUUCUGUUGGUUUUGAAUUCACCAGCCAUAACGCACGUCUCAUUACUCCCUUUAAAAGUUUCUAAAUAGUCAUUUUAAGAUGUUAAAUUGGCAAAGGAGUGCUAAUCUCUUCUUGGAUUUUGAUUUUUUAAUGUUCCCCAUUGUGGAUCAAUCUGGAACACCGCAUAUGGCAAUCCCCACGUUGGGUAAUCACGGUUAUUAUUGUAAGUGUCCCCCAGAGAAUCUUAACAACUGAAGUGGGCAAUUAUCUUAUUUUAAAUUUAAUUUUAAAAUGAUCCACAUAAGGAGAAAAGUUUUAAUGUGAUCAAAGGAUUCAUUUCAAUAACAGCUCCUGGCACCGGUGUAAGUAGCGAUUGAUGCUCGCAGCCUCCAGCAUCUAUCAGAGCUGAGUGUGCAUCUGCUAUUGACAGCACACGACAUUAAGAAAUGCUUCAGUCUGUAACAACAGCCAUCCAUUUUUUUUUUUUUCCUAGAACUUUGCAGCAUCUCUGUAGAAUUGGAGCCGUGGUUUUACUGAAGUAUUACGGACGUUACGCCAUUACGGAGCGGGCAGCAUCCUCUGUCGGAGGAGCAGGGCUACAGGAGAGGUUACGGCACCCAGACCAGUACCUCCAUCACAGCCUGCAGCACAUCCCUCGAUGUGCCUCCUUGUGGCACAAGGACCUGGCUUCAUCACAGAAUGGUAAGGAGUCGAGAUUUUAUCAUAGAAUCAUAUAUAGAACCACACAAUGGCUGGGAGGCACCCCCCCAACCCCCAGCUGUGGGCUGGGUGCCCCCCAGCUUAAGCUGCCCAGGGCCCAUCCAUGGCCUCGGGCAUCUCCAGGGAUGGGGCACCCACAGCUCUGGGCAGUGCCAGGGCCUCACUGCCCUCUGAGGAAAGAAUUUCCUUCA